AGAGCGAACGCUGGCGGCAGGCCUAACACAUGCAAGUCGAGCGCCCGUAGCAAUACGGGAGCGGCAGACGGGAUAGUAACACGUGGGAACACGCCCUUCGGUUCGGAAUAGCUCAGGGAAACUUGAGCUAAUACCGGAUACGCCCUUACGGGGAAAGAUUUAUUGCCGAAGGAACGGCCCGCGUCCGAUUAGCUAGUUGGUGAGGUAAUGGCUCACCAAGGCGACGAUCGGUAGCUGGUCUGAGAGGAUGACCAGCAUCACUGGGACUGAGACACGGCCCAGACUCCUACGGGAGGCAGCAGUGGGGAAUAUUGGACAAUGGGCGCAAGCCUGAUCCAGCCAUGCCGCGUGGAUGAUGAAGGCCUUAGGGUUGUAAAGUCCUUUAACGGGGAAGAUAAUGACGGUACCCGUAGAAUAAGCCCCGGCUAACUUCGUGCCAGCAGCCGC
rnacentral:rRNA from 1 species